GAUGAACGCUAGCGGCAGGCUUAAUACAUGCAAGUCGUGGGGCAGCACAGGUAGCAAUACUGGGUGGCGACCGGCAAACGGGUGCGGAACACGUACGCAACCUUCCUUUAAGCGGGGAAUAGCCCAGGGAAACUUGGAUUAAUACCCCAUAAGACAAUAACAUGGCAUCAUGUAGUUGUUAAAGCUCCGGCACUUAAAGAUGGGCGUGCGGCUGAUUAGGUAGUUGGCGGGGUAACGGCCCACCAAGCCAACGAUCAGUAACUGGUGUGAGAGCACGACCAGUCACACGGGCACUGAGACACGGGCCCGACUCCUACGGGAGGCAGCAGUAAGGAAUAUUGGUCAAUGGACGCAAGUCUGAACCAGCCAUGCCGCGUGGAGGAUGAAGGCCCUCUGGGUUGUAAACUUCUUUUAUUGGGGAAGAACUCUAUCUUUUCUAAGGUAGUUGACGGUACCCGAUGAAUAAGCACCGGCUAACUCCGUGCCAGCAGCCGCGGUAAUACGGAGGGUGCAAGCGUUAUCCGGAUUCACUGGGUUUAAAGGGUGCGUAGGUGGGCAGGUAAGUCAGUGGUGAAAUCUCUGGGCUUAACCCAGAAACUGCCGUUGAUACUAUCU
rnacentral:rRNA from 1 species